UACGUAGGGUGCAAGCGUUGUCCGGAAUUAUUGGGCGUAAAGAGCUCGUAGGCGGUGUGUCGCGUCGGCCGUGAAAACCUGCAGCUUAACUGUGGGCUUGCGGUCGAUACGGGCAUCACUGGAGUUCGGCAGGGGAGACUGGAAUUCCUGGUGUAGCGGUGAAAUGCGCAGAUAUCAGGAGGAACACCAGUGGCGAAGGCGCCGCUCUGGGCCGACACUGACGCUGAGGAGCGAAAGCGUGGGUAGCAAACAGG
rnacentral:rRNA from 1 species